rnacentral:rRNA from 1 species
UACGUAGGUGACCAGCGUUGUCCGGAUUUACUGGGCGUAAAGAGCGCGCAGGCGGUCGUUCAAGUCGAGUGUGAAAGCCCCCGGCUCAACUGGGGAGGGUCACUCGAUACUGAUCGACUUGAAGGCAGGAGAGGGAAGCGGAAUUCCCGGUGUAGUGGUGAAAUGCGUAGAGAUUUGGAGGAACACCAGUGGCGAAGGCGACUUUCUGGUCUGUAACUGACACUGAGGCGCGAAAGCGUGGGGAGCAAACAGG